ACCCCCCAAAUCCCAAAAUUUGACAUGAAAUCUAUUCUUUUUUUCCCUCCUCCUUUUUCCCAAAAUCAGUUCCCUUCUCCCUCCCCAAUGAAAUCCUAAAAUUUCACCUGAAAUUUCUUCUCUUUUUUUCCCCAUUUUAUUUUUCCCAAACCAUUCUCCCCUACCCCGAUUCCCUUUAUUUUUUCCCCCAAUUUACCCAAAUCGGUAGCCCUCUGCAUCUCCGUCGGCAGCUCACUUCUGUAUCUCCGUCGAGAUAUGCUAUCAAGUAUACAGAAAGAGGACCCAAGGAUCUUCAAAAUUUGAGAGAAGAAAUUCAAUCCAAAAAAAGAAAAAGAACCCCAAAAGAUGAGGAUUAAUGGGAGUUGGGAGUUGAUUUUUUAUUGAUUUUUUCAAGUGAUAUUGUUAUAUAGUAAAAAAAAGAUGAAUUCACAAAAUCAAGUGGAGUCAACUCUCAAGGAAAUACUUGAAGUGGUCAAGCCGUUGCAUGAAGACUGAGUUACUCGGUUUAAGAUCAUCAAUGAACUGCAUGAAGUCGUUCAAUCUAUCGAAAAUUUAAGAGACAAUUGAGAUUCUUUUCAGCAAAAGGAUAUUCUUAGAUAUAGAGGUUUGAGUUUUUGUUGGAUGCAUGGUCCAGGAUUAGCUGAAUUCAUGCAUAGUGACGACUUGUUUGAGCUAAUUGUUGAUCUUAAAGUGUGCAUUCUAUCAUUAUUUUGUUCUAUUUGUAUUUUGUUAGAUUUCUGGUGUAGUAUGAUAAGUGUGGUAUUUUGUUUGAUUGUUAUUGAUAAACUUACUGUUUGGUGGGAUAUAUAUUUAUAUUGAAUUUUAAA